rnacentral:lncRNA from 1 species
UUUAAUGAAAUUACAAAUGGAAAGCAGAAGGCAAACUUAUAAAUGAAAUUUGAAGUAUUUUAUUGAAUUCAAAUUGCAUUACAUAACGAUAAAAACUAAAAAUAAGCACAAUAAUACUACUAACUAUCUAGGAGGAAGAUCCACCAUGUGGACCAAAAUGACGACGCAGAAUGUCAUGCUCUAAAUUCUCAACUCGAGUUUCCAAUGAUUGGAAGC